rnacentral:rRNA from 1 species
CAGUAGCCGCGGUAAUACAGAGGAUGCAAGCGUUAUCCGGAAUGAUUGGGCGUAAAGGGCGCGCAGGCGGUUUCUUAAGUCUGAUGUGAAAGCCCCCGGCUCAACCGGGGAGGGUCAUUGGAAACUGGGAAACUUGAGUGCAGAAGAGGAGAGUGGAAUUCCACGUGUAGCGGUGAAAUGCGUAGAGAUGUGGAGGAACACCAGUGGCGAAGGCGACUCUCUGGUCCGUAACUGACGCUGAGGAGCGAAAGCGUGGGGAGCGAACAGGAUUAGAUACCCCGGUAGUCCCUGUCUCUUAUAC